CUUUAAUUUUCUUAAAAGGACGGGAUUAAUAAGUAGAAUGUAACUCUCUGUUCCACACUCCGGAGCAGAAGGUGGCGGUAAUGCACCUAAUUACGCUGGUUUCCAGCCGCAAGAAGAAGAAGAACAACAACAAACUGUUGAUAACGGACAAUAAUCACGAUAAGAGGACACUCUUAAAAGUACACCUCACCUGUACUUUUUUUUCCUGAGCCACAGGAGAAAAUGCUCACUCUUGUGUGUAUGUUGACUUUUUGGCCAGUCGUUAACGCAGGUUCUCACUCACUGAUGGCUUUGGCAACAUAUAUAGUUGGACAAACACAAUUUCCCGAGUUUAGUGUUGUGGUGAUGUUGGAUGAUGUACAAAUAGUGUAUUAUGACUCAACCACGUGGAAACCUGUCUAUCGCUCUCACAGUGAUUCAAAAUACUAUGAUGAAGAGCAAAGUGAUGCUGGUGUUGUAUUGCGUGAUAUGUAUUAUGACAUGAAAGAUCGAGCCUUUUAUCUUAAGGAGCACCAAAAUCACACAGGUGGUGUACAUGUUCAUCAGAGACUUGUUGGAUGUGAACUGUUGAACAGCAAUAAACCAGGUCAACUUCACUACUGGGAUGCUUUCGGUGGACAAAAUAUGGAGGAGUUUAUUUUUGAUGUAGGAAAACACGCUAUCCAGAUAAAAAUGCCGUGGGUGAUAACAUGGGACCAACUAAAACGGGUUCAUGAAAACUUUAUGUAUGAAAAUGUUUAUCAUCCUAUUUGCAUUAAAACUUUGAGAAGGUACCUGAAUAUGGAGAAGAACAAUGUGCUGAGAAAAGUGAAGCCCAGAGUCAGACUCAUGAAGAAGACACUCUCAGACUCUCAAGGGCUUCAGAUCAGCUGUCUGGCCACUGGUUUUUACCCCCGUCACAUUAACCUGACCCUGUUCAGAGAUGGUCAGCCUGUGGAUGAUGAUCAGAUCACAGGAGGAGAGAUUCUGCCCAACGGAGACGGAACUUACCAGAUGAGGAAGAGUUUGGUGAUCAGUGAAGAAGAGCUACGUGAGGAACAUAAAUACAACUGCACAAUGAAGCACCUCAAUCUGGACAACAAACUGGACAUUAUUUUUGAUGUGGCUGAAUCUGACCCAGGAUCAUUUACGCAGUCUGUAGUUUUCAGUGUGCUGGUGUUCAUGUGUGUGGUUGUUCUCAUCAUAACUGCACUCAUUAUAUGGAGGAAGAGACGAGCUGCUGGUAAAUUUUAAGUAGAAAGGUUCAGUUUCCAAGACAACCCAGAGUCAUUACACUCGGACUCCAAUGCGAGAUGCAACUUGAAAAAAAAUUAGCCUGUAUGGACUCAAAUUGAUGAGGUAAUACACACACAGUAUUUGGUCUCAUUUGUUUCCUGUGGAUGUCGGUGGCUCUUAUUGGAGUCUUUGAUGGGACAUUGGAAAGUUGCUCAUCAAGCUGUAUCCUCUUAUGAAGAAUGCACCUCAGUAUGACACGCUGCUCAAAAAUAAGACUGAUCGAAACACAAUGAUGUAGGAGUUUUUUUUAUAUAUAUUAUUAUAACAGUUACAGCGCAAUCAAGGUAUACUUUUUUUGGCCAUUAUGUGUGUUUUCCAGGAAAACAAACUGAUAAGCUUGAAAAUUGCUAGCACUAUACUCUGAUUAGUAGAGCUACAGGAAUACAUUUGUAAUUGAGCCAUUGCAUAAAUGUAUUUGCAUCAAAAACAUAUUCUGUUAUGUGGCAAAGACAUUCAUUUAAAUGACAUGGGAGUUGGUGCACUACCUUGAACACCUGACACAUCCAGUGUUAUAUGACACCUUAUUGAUCAAUAAAAAACUCUA